rnacentral:lncRNA from 1 species
UCUGUAUUUAAGGUUUGUCACUGUAUAAACAUGGUGUACAAGUUAAAUGACCUUCCGUUGAGACUUACUUAAGUUCCAUAAUAAAAAUUCAGCAAUUUUACCAGUUUUAACCGACAGUAACUCUAGAACAGUUAAAGUGACACCACCAGUCCAAAAUUCAAACUUGAUCUGUAAUUUGUGGUAUUUGGCAUUGUGUAUAAGUUUCAUGAUGUUUGGUUGUUGCAAACUUAAAUCUUCAUUACUCCUCUGCUACAGCCUGAGCAUUCAAAAUGUUUCCAUAAAGGAACAUAUUUUUAUUACCUACAUUGUACAUAAUUUAAAUAAUAAAUCCCCUUCCCUUUCAUGAACGAGACCUACCGAAGUAGAUUAUUUACCGGAUUUGUUAUCACAUAAGCAACACGACGGAUGCCACAUGUGGAGCAGGAUCUGCUUACCCUUCCAGAGCACCUGAGAUCACCCCUAGUUUUUUGGUGGGUUCGUGUUGUUUAUUCUUUAGUUUUCUAUGUUGUGUCAUGUGUGCUGUUGUUUGUUUGUCUUUUUCUUUUUUAGCCAUGGCGUUGUCAGUUUGUUUUAGAUUUAUCAGUUAGACUGUCCCUUUGGUAUUUUUCGUCCCUCUUUUAAUUGGAGGCGAAAUAGGAAACGCAAAAUCUAUUUAUUUUGGCCUGACACAGUGGUUGAUUAACUUAUACGAAAUCAACCAACCAUAAUCUAUCCACACUCAGGACCAAUUUUGUCCAAGACCAAUUCAAUUCUUUUAUCAUUUUACAGAAAGGAUCUACAGAAAACUUACAAAAGAAGGGUACAAAUUGAUAGCUUAUAGCAUGAUGAUCCAAAAUUAUCAUGUUUUUCAAUG